CUGCUCCUACGGGAGGCAGCAGUGGGGAAUAUUGCACAAUGGGGGAAACCCUGAUGCAGCGACGCCGCGUGAGUGAAGAAGUAUCUCGGUACGUAAAGCUCUAUCAGCAGGGAAGAAAAUGACGGUACCUGACUAAGAAGCCCCGGCUAACUACGUGCCAGCAGCCGCGGUAAUACGUAGGGGGCAAGCGUUAUCCGGAAUUACUGGGUGUAAAGGGAGCGCAGGCGGGAAGCCAAGUCAGCUGUGAAAACUACGGGCUUAACUUGUAGACUGCAGUUGAAACUGGUUUUCUUGGGUGAAGUAGG
rnacentral:rRNA from 1 species